CCAACAUAAACAUUAUUGCCCGGCGUACGGGGAAGGACGUCAAUAGUCACACAGUCCUUGACGGUAUAAUAACCACCAUCAUGGCGACCAUCCAAAGGAUAAACAUCAUAGGCAGUCGGGAGGGUAGUCGGAACCGAAGAAGACUCAAAGCGAACCAAACAGGCAAAAAAUUUAGGGUCGGCAUCAAAAGCAAUAUCAGCACCAACAGAAACAACCUGAUUAGCGGCGUUGACAGAUGUAUCCAUCUGAAUGCAAUGAAGAAAACCACCAUUACCAGCAUUAACCGUCAAACUAUCAAAAUAUAACGUUGACGAUGUAGCUUUAGGUGUCUGUAAAACAGGUGCCGAAGAAGCUGGAGUAACAGAAGUGAGA
rnacentral:rRNA from 1 species